GGGGGGCGGGGCGGGGCGGUCCCGGCAGCGUGAGGGGCGGCGGGCCGGGAGCCGCUCCUGCCCCUUCCCGCCUGCCCCGGGACCUGGGAACAUCCUGAGGGGCGGCGGGCCGGGAGCCGCUCCUGCCCCUUCCCGCCUGCCCCGGGACCUGGGAACAUCCUGAGGGGCGGCGGGCCGGGAGCCGCUCCUGCUACUUCCUACGUGUCCCGUAUUCUGAGAUACCGACCAACAGCCUGGGUGUACGCACCUAUCCCAGCCUGUCGCUAGGGAAAUACAAACCCAGCCGUGGGACCAGGUGGAGAGGGAGGGAGAGAGGUAGAGUAGGAAAUGGAGAAACCCACCUGAAACCCCCCCCCAAGGACAACUGUCUGCUUCUUAAAGGAGAAGGGCCUCUGGCGGAUGUAAAGCCCUCAGCAAACAGUCCUGGAAGUACAUUUGAGAUUCUCUCAAAUACCAGCUGAAUUUAUGACCCUUAGUGAAGAGCAGGGAGGAAUCUCUUCAAAAUACUUUCCAGCUGGCAGCACUUUAUAUAGACCCUUGUAACUGAAUAGAAGGAACCCCUGGAGGGGCAGGUGCCACCCUGUGGAGGGACAAAUCCUUCUGAAGUGCCUAUGGUCUUGGCUAGUGAAAAAGGAGAUGCCAGAAAUAAUGUCUCCCCACCAGAAGAAGGCAGUGCAGGCUCAGUCCUCUGAAGUUUUCCAUCAAACCUGGUCAACUGGGGAAGAUGGUGGGUGCUGGACAACCCCUUGGUGGCUGACUUGGAGGCUGUCACCUGCCUGAGAGUUGUAGUGAUGAAGGAACUCCUAUGAAACACUUGCCUCCUCGGCUACUUCUCUAACUCCAGUUGCACAGAGGAUUGAUUCCCCAGUAGACAUCAGCUGGGAAACCCUCAGAGGCAAAAGAUGUUCCAUGGAUGGGCUGAGCCCACCAAAACCAAAAGACGUGAGAGUUCGAGCAGAGUUUUCACUCUGGGAUAUGCUAAUAUAAGAGGAGCUCAGCACCCAAAACUAACAGCAUUUCAGGAACAAUAAGAUCAGUGAAAUACUGCCAGGCUGUG
rnacentral:lncRNA from 1 species